UUUAUUUCCUUAAUUUUCGUAAUUUAUUUUAGAAGAGACAUUUCGGUAAUCCUAUUGGACAUCUUAAAUUAUUGUAUAAAGAACGUAAACCCUAAACUCUAUUAUUUCGCUUCCGCAUUAAUUCAUGACUUUAUUUCUUUUUAAGUUCUGAACCUUUACAUUGAGUGUCAUCAGAAAGAUGAACGCCAUAAAAAAGAGGAGUGCCAUCAAUU
rnacentral:lncRNA from 1 species